AGCCCGAACUCGGCAGCAAACCGUACUGAGUCCUUCCAACCACAGCAGGAACUUUACUAUAUGUUCUCAGGUCCCAAUCACUAAGCCUAGGCCUUGACAAGAUGAAGCUGGCGAGCCCCACUUAGCGUGCUCUGGACUGCUGUGCUGGAGAAAUGACAGGGUCUUAACACCCCCGAGCAUUCAUAAUCACCUCUGAGACAGCAGGUAAGCUCUCAGCUGCAGUUCCAGUGCCUUGCCUGCCCGUGUGCUGCCAUGGUUGCCACCAGGAUGGUCGCGGACUCACCCCUCUGAAACUGAGUUUACCAUCUAGUCCUAGAACUGGCAGGGAUCUCAGGUCUAACCACCAUCUGGCCUCCUUCUUGUGUCAGGGUCUCACUUUGCAGCCCUGGCUAGCCCAGAACUCACAGAGGUCCACCAGCUUCUUCAUCCUCCAUGCUGGGGUUCAAGCAGUCAAUAGGAGACAGCCAUUAAAGAAAUCCUCGGGGGCACACCUGUCUGUGGAGACCGCCAAUGCAGCCCACUCGUGACACAGGAAUCAGCAGAGCUGGAACAGCACCGUAUGGUAUAAGAUCACUUCCUGGGGUUGUAAGAUGGCUCACUUGGCAAGAAAACUUCCUGAAAAGCCUGACUUGAGUUCUGCCUCCAGGACUCCCGUGGUAGAGAGUGGUAGAGAGAACUGACUCUUACAAACUAUCCUCUGACCACCACAUGUGCACUAUGGCAUAUACACAUGUCCCUGAACACGUGCACGUGUGCUCGAGUGUAUGUGUGUGCACACGCACGCGCACACACACACCACUAAUAUAAAAU
rnacentral:lncRNA from 1 species